rnacentral:rRNA from 1 species
UACGUAGGGGGCAAGCGUUGUCCGGAUUUAUUGGGCGUAAAGAGCGUGUAGGCGGCCAUUCAGGUCAGCUGUGAAAACUCGAGGCUCAACCUCGAGACGUCGGUUGAAACCGUAUGGCUAGAGUCCGGAAGAGGAGAGUGGAAUUCCCGGUGUAGCGGUGAAAUGCGCAGAUAUCGGGAAGAACACCCAUGGCGAAGGCAGCACUCUGGGACGGUACUGACGCUGAGACGCGAAAGCGUGGGGAGCAAACAGG